rnacentral:rRNA from 1 species
UAAGACGGACCACACGAACGUUAUUCGGAAUUACUGGGCUUAAAGGGUGCGUAGGCUGUGCGGAAAGUUGGGUGUGAAAGCCCUCGGCUCAACCGGGGAACUGCGCCCAAAACUACCGUGCUCGAGGGAGAUAGAGGUGAGCGGAACUUAGGGUGGAGCGGUGAAAUGCUUUGAUAUCCUAAGGAACACCGGUGGCGAAAGCGGCUCACUGGGUCUCUUCUGACGCUGAUGCACGAAAGCUAGGGGAGCGAACGGGAUUAGAUACCCCGGUAGUCCUAGCCGUAAACUCUGAGCACUGGGUUGGAGGCCCCCUCAUAGGCUUCCAGCCGAAGCGAAAGUGUUAAGUGCUCCGCCUGGGGAGUAUGGUCGCAAGGCUG